GGGAAAUGGAGAGACUGACGGUCGCGGAGAAAGGAGUGGGGCGAGGAGGUGGGAAGGGGUGGGGUUCGUGCGGGGAGGGACCUUUCCGAAUCCAGACCUACUGCCUGCGUAUGAGGAGUCUGUCUUUUGGGGGCGGACUGGAGGGAUGGCCAAGAUCCGACUGACACCCCCCCCCCCUCGUUAAAAGCCCUGAGAUUUUGCCAAGUGAUGGGGUGGGGGGAAGCAGAUGGAAAGGCCGGCAGGUAUUUGAGAAACCAAAAGCUUAGAGAGAAGGAAGAGGUCGGGAGCUACUUCCACAUCUCGCUGGAUUUCCCCUCUCUUCCUGCAUCUACGUUCUCUGGGUGGCCUUGGGAGGGGAUGGGAGAGCAAAAAGGGCAGCCGACGUCCCAUCCUCCCCGAGGCUGACAUUUGUGACCUCUUCUGGGUCUGAGGGAAGUCAGAGGCCCUCUAAUCUCCUGUCUUCUCUUCCAUCUUCCACCUUUCCUGUUUGUCCAUCUCACCUCACUUUUCUUUGCCUGGUCCUUCAAUUUCUCUUCAUCCCUCCUCAUCCACUUCUAAUCUCACAUCUCUCUUCUGUCCCCGCUUCUCCACUUCUCACUUGCCCUCCUCUGCCUUCCAUCUCUGAUCGCCUUCCCUCUCUCCCGGACCACUCUGUUCUUGUCUCAUCUGAGCCUGUCACUUGGCCCUGUGUCAUUAGCUGAUUUUCCUCAACUCCUCUUAAGAUCCUUAUUUUCCACAUUUUCCCUCUCUUGGCAUUUCUCUUUCUUCUGCUGCCAUCUUCUCCAGCCUUCCUGGAUUAUAUCUGCCUCCUUUGCAGGAGGUUCCAGCCCACACUGUUCCACUCACUCUCAGCUCCUCACCCUCGGUUGGUCUCAGUGUCUUUGGGUCAUUUUGAGAAGCUUGGAGUUUCAGGACGGGACAGGAGCUGGGGUGUGUAUCAAAGGUCAGGAAGGUGGAAUGGGUGGAAGGCUAGAGUUUGAAAAAAGAUAUCUUUGAUGUGUGUGCACUCCUAUAUUUUGUCUAUCAUUUUUUAAAUUUUCAUUUUCUUAAAAAAGACAUAGCUGAUCAGUCAUCACCAUGUAGGCUUUGAGUGCUUAAAGACACUGUCUUUUGGUCCCUUGGUGUACACACUUCCCAAUUUCUCUUUCUGACUCUUCUCUCAGUUUCUCAGUCUCCGGCUCCUCAAAAAUCUUGGAACCCCACCCAGGUUUUUCCUUGCUGAACUCUGUCCAUCUUUCUCUGAGAUCUUUCCAUCUUCCUGUCUCUGUUUCUCUGACACACUCGCUGAUGCCUUUAGCGAUCUCUGACCCUCUCUAUCUCUGUACUCUCUUGCUACAUUUCUCUCCCUCUCCCCCCUCCUUUACCCCCCCCCCCCCAUCCAGUCUCCCUGUCUCGUUCCCUCCCCGCCAGUCUCUUUCCUCUCCCUCCCACCCUCCUUUCCUCUUCCCCCUUCUCCACCUCCCAGCCCCGCCUGCUGUCUCGGACACCCUGCUGGGCUCUUACCCUGUUGCCCUGGUAACCGCCCCCCACUCCGGUCACCUCCACUCCCCUCCCCCCUCCAAUCACCGCCACCAACAACCUCCAUCCACCUUCCUCCUAUUUUUCCCGAGAGCCAAUAGAAACCCUGUUGCCAGGUGGAAUGCUCAUUUGAAUCAGCCAAUCCAGGAGCCUAACUGCUUGCCCUGCCUUAUAUGGGGAUUUGAGGAGGGCCACUCCCCCCACUCCAGCCCCACAGGGGACCAGCCCCUCCACUGUCCUUUCUCCCCACCCAGGAGAGUGUAUGGGACCCUCCCUUUCACCCUUCCAUAGGGUCUGGCCUCCCAUUUCUCUAACUGGGACCACCGGGGUUACUGUGGACUGUGGGCCGGACUGUGGGCUGGGCCUCAAGGCCGGGGGUGGAAAUGAGGUGUGAUUAGGGAAGGGGAGGCGGAGGGAGCCGGGAAUUUUGCCCAGGGAGGGGUGUCUGGGAGCGGAGGCAGCUGCAGUGGAAAAUUCCAGGGAGAUAGAGAGGCAGAGAAUGGGAAUCCUGCCCCAAGGCCCAAGGGAAAGCCUUGAGAAUCUGAGAGUUUGGACACUAGGGUCCACAGGGACCAAAGGAAAGAGAUCUAGGAAGCAGGAGGCCUGGAUCUGAUUCCCUUCCUGCGUGGGAGAAGCACCCCUGAACCUUCCCUGUCUGGUUAGACAUCAGACCAGCCUCCUGAAGUCUUGGCUUCUUGAGAAGAAACCUAGACGUGACAAUUAGCGUGAAUUUGGAGCGAGUGAGAUGCUGAAAGCCCACCGUCCAUCCUCCGCAGUCCUUGGGGGUGGCCGCCGGGCUUCUGGGACCAAGGGUUCGAAAGGAUGCCAGCCUGUGUGCUCUCCCUUCCAGACAGUGAUUUCCGAGGCCUUGUGGAGGCUCGCUUCCCCCUAGAGUUCUGUUACUCCACAGUUCAACUGAGAAUUUUCCGCUGGUUGAAUGGAGAAACCUGUGCUUCUUACACUUUUUCUGGAGGUGCUGGGCACUGUGCUGUGUGGCGGACACACAAAGCUGAAUGAAGAAGACGUGGUCCCUGCCCUCCAGGAAGAGACAGGAGAGCUCGGUCAAAGUACAACCUGGGAAGGGACAGGUAUCCAGCACUCUCUUCCCCUGGACAGCACCCUGUCCCAUCUCCAGGGGACUCCUUUUCUGGAGUGCCUCCCUGAUCUCUGCUGAUUGCAGAUCCUUAUCCCUUGUUCUCAACUCCAACUGCCUCCCUUGCUCCCCUCCCUGACUGCUGUCUCCGUCCCCUAGGCCCAAUACCUAGCCCAAGGCUAGGCACCCAAGAGGAAGAGCUCAAUAAAUCAUUGACUUCCUAGCCCUGACACCCUGUUUUGGACUCAGUCUCAGAGCCCUCUCAGCCUUUUUCCCUUGAGCAGGCUGAAGGAACACCGGAUACGGCUGGCCUCUCUCUCACUUGGGCUCUUCUCAAUAACUAUUAACAUCCUGGUGGUCACUGUCUGUCUUUUACGGUAUCAACAUCACAAGCCAAAUUCUAUGGCUUUCCUACUGCCUCAUGAACUUUCACCUCAGCAAAAAUAAUUGGUUUUACCAUCAUCCCUCCCAUCCAGAUUCUUGGAUUGGCUUUUCUUAUGCUCUGUGCUGUCCUUCAUGACCUUCUCCACUUUUUUUUUUUUUUUAAUGGCGGGACUGGGGAUUAAACCCUGGACCUCCUGCAUGCUCAGCAUGAGCUAUACCCUCCCCCUCCUUCACUUUUACACUCUAAGUUUACUAUUGCCCGACCCUCCAUUGCCCUCCUUCCACUUUCUCCUCCUUGUGCACACUUUUCUUUUUUUAAUUCCACUUUUAUUGAGAUAUAAUUGACAUACAGCACUGUAUAAGUUUAAGGUAUACACUAUAAUGAUUUGACUUAUAUACAUCAUGAAAUGACUGCCAUGAUGUUUAGUGAACAGCUGUCAUCUCAUACAGAUAAAAAAUUAAAUAGAAAAGUAAUUUUUUUCCCUGUGAUAAGAACUCUUAGGAUUUACUUUCUUAACUUUCAUAUAUAACAUACAGCAGUGUUAAUUAUACUUACCAUGUUGUAUGUUAUAUCCUAGUAUUUAUUUAUCUUAUAAUUAGAGGUUUAUACCUUUUGACUACCUUCAUCCAACUUCCCCUCCCCCAUUCUUUUCAAAAAAGUCUUUGCAGGCCUUCAAAAAAGUCCAGAAGGAAAAUGACAUUUAUAGAUGCUUCCUGACUCUGUCCAAUAAAAUUUUCUGUGACAAUGGGAAUGUUCUAUAUCUGCAGUUUCCAAUACAGUGACCUCUAGCCACAUGUGGUUACUGAACACUUGAAAUGUGGC